rnacentral:rRNA from 1 species
GACGAACGCUGGCGGCGUGCUUAACACAUGCAAGUCGAACGAAGUGGCGAACGGGUGAGUAAUACGUGAGUAACCUGCCCUCCUUUGUGGGAUAAGCCUUGGAAACGGGGUCUAAUACCGAAUAAAGGGGGAUGGGCUCGCGGCCUAGCAGCUUGUUGGGGGGGUGAUGGCCUACCAAGGCGGUGGCGGGUAGCCGGCCUGAGAGGGUGACCGGCCGAAUUGGAACGGAGCUACGGCCCAGACGCAGGCGGGAGGCGGCAAUGGGGGAUAUUGCACAAUGGGCGAAAGCCUGAUGCAGCGACGCAGCGUGAGGGAUGAAGGCUUUCGGGUUGUAAUCCUCUUUGGCUAUCGAGCGGGUAGGUGGAGAAGAAGCGCCGGCUAACUACGUGCCAGCAGCCGCGGUAAUAC